rnacentral:rRNA from 1 species
AUUGAACGCUGGCGGCAGGCCUAACACAUGCAAGUCGAACGAGUGGCGGACGGGUGAGUAAUGUCUGGGAAACUGCCUGAUGGAGGGGGAUAACUACUGGAAACGGUAGCUAAUACCGCAUACCAUCGGAUGUGCCCAGAUGGGAUUAGCUAGUAGGGGGGGUAACGGCUCACCUAGGCGACGAUCCCUAGCUGGUCUGGUGGGAUGACCGGCCACACUGGAACUGAGACACGGACCAGACUCGUACGGGAGGCAGCAGUGGAGAAUAUUGCACAAUGGGAGCAAGCCUGAUGCAGCCAGGCCGCGUGUAUGAAGAAGACCUUCGGGUUGUAAAGUACUUUCAGCGAGGAGGCGUUACCCUCAGAAGAAGCACCGGCUAACUCCGUGCCAGCAGCCGCGGUAAUUC